UACGUAGGGGGCAAGCGUUGUCCGGAAUCAUUGGGCGUAAAGCGCGUGUAGGCGGCCAGGUAAGUCCGUUCUGAAAGCCCGGGGCUCAACCCCGGGAGGCGGAUGGAUACUGCUUGGCUCGAGUCCGGAAGAGGCGAGUGGAAUUCCCGGUGUAGCGGUGAAAUGCGCAGAUAUCGGAAGGAACACCAAUGGCGAAGGCAGCUCGCUGGGACGGUACUGACGCUGAGACGCGAAAGCGUGGGAGCAAACAGGG
rnacentral:rRNA from 1 species